rnacentral:rRNA from 1 species
CAGCAGCCGCGGUAAUACGGAGGGGGCUAGCGUUGUUCGGAAUUACUGGGCGUAAGGCGCACGUAGGCGGCUUGGUAAGUUAGAGGUGAAAGCCCGGAGCUCAACUCCGGAAUUGCCUUUAAGACUGCCGAGCUAGUAGGUGAGAGAGGUAAGUGGAAUUCCGAGUGUAGAGGUGAAAUUCGUAGAUACUCGGAAGAACACCAGUGGCGAAGGCGGCUCACUGGACGCGUAUUGACGCUGAGGUACGAAAGCGUGGGGAGCAAACAGGAUUAGAUACCCGAGUAGUCCCUGUCUCUUAUAC